rnacentral:rRNA from 1 species
AUGAACGCUGGCGGCGUGCCUAAUACAUGCAAGUCGAGCGAACGGACGAGAAGCUUGCUUUUCUGAUGUUAGCGGCGGACGGGUGAGUAACACGUGGAUAACCUACCUAUAAGACUGGGAUAACUUCGGGAAACCGGAGCUAAUACCGGAUAAUAUUUUGAACCGCAUGGUUCCAAAGUGAAAGACGGUCUUGCUGUCACUUAUAGAUGGAUCCGCGCUGCAUUAGCUAGUUGGUAAGGUAACGGCUUACCAAGGCAACGAUGCAUAGCCGACCUGAGAGGGUGAUCGGCCACACUGGAACUGAGACACGGUCCAGACUCCUACGGGAGGCAGCAGUAGGGAAUCUUCCGCAAUGGGCGAAAGCCUGACGGAGCAACGCCGCGUGAGUGAUGAAGGUCUUCGGAUCGUAAAACUCUGUUAUUAGGGAAGAACAUAUGUGUAAGUAACUGUGCACAUCUUGACGGUACCUAAUCAGAAAGCCACGGCUAACUACGUG